GUCUCUGUGGCGCAAUUGGUUAGCGCGUUCGGCUGUUAACCGAAAGGUUGCAGGUUCAAGCCCAGCCAGGGACG
rfam:Ciona savignyi cont_34552, whole genome shotgun sequence.